CCACGGAAGCAGCUUCAACCACACAGGCAUACGGGGGCAGGGACGGGGGACCCAGAUCCGGUCCGGCAGUUGCGGACCUUGGGGUGAAGUCACCUUUUGGCGACCGGGCACACCUUCCCGCCCGAACCCGACAGCUAACCUCGCAGGCGUGCCGGAGGGAUAUC
rnacentral:sRNA from 2 species